CCCACAUUUACCCACAUCGUGGGCUCCACCUGAUGCUACGCCAUAAAGUCCAAUUCAGGUCAAUCUAAAACACGUCAGUGUUAACCCUACUCCUCUCCCGUCGUCGGUUUAAAAAUGGCUCGGUCUCUCCCACGGUCUUUUCUCUGCAUCUCCCGCGGACCAGAGGAGACGAUGCCCAAUUAGAGGAGGAAGAAGAAGACGAAGGGAUUGAAGAGAAGGGGUAUAUAGAAGAGGGAAGGAGGAAAGAGGGAGAAGAGGAGACAGGAGGGAAGAGGGGAUGGUGUUCAACGCGGGGUGGGUGACGGCGGUAGCGAGGGCCUCGGCGGAGGCCUGCCAAUAUGUGGCCUGCAACCCGGAGCGGCUGAGCAGCGAGGAGGUGCUCGACCUCCUCUGCUGCCUCCCCCUCCGCCACCUCCGCCGCCUCGCCAUCUGCGUCUUCUCCUUCUUCUGCAUCCCCCCUUCCCUCCCCGACGAACCCCGCAACCGCGGCCGCCGCUACACCUACCGCUAUUCUCUCUCCUCGUCCUCCGCUUCUUCCUCCUCCUCGGACGAAUACGAUUCCGCUGGUGGUGGCUACGACUCGCAUUCUGAUUGAUCAAUCGAUUCCGGUGGAUCUCCUCCCUCUGUACAGUAAUUAUUCCUCUUUCGCCUCCCUUCCGAGUAAUUAAUUGGUGGCCUUGUCCGGGGGAUGUGAUCGGUACCACAAUGAUUCCUGUUUGGAUUGGCAAAUACUGUUUGUCUUAUCAUCAUAUGAUGUUUCGGGUGACCUUGUUGUAGUGAUAGUUAACUUAUCUGCUGGGUGUUGAAUCUUGUUGUUUUCCAAUUGAAUUCUGGUUUGGCUAGUCAUUGUGCCUAACUACUCUUGUCUCUGUGUUAGUUAUGUUUGAUGUGUUAGUUAUUUUUGAAUCCUGGAAGUUAGUGCCAUUGAAAACCAAUAAGAAUUCUCUUUUCCAUCUUGAUAAAUGGUUGCACUUGAUAUUUUGUUUAAUGACUGCUCUAAUCUACACAGGAUGACUCAAAUACUUCUAUAAUUGAUAUUGUGCUUGAAAGACACCAAAAUCAAAUAAAUCAAACUUGAUAUUUCAUGAAAUCUGGAUUUUAAAGUUGUAUGACAUGAUCAAACUCUAUCUAACAUAGGCCCACUUGAAACCAAAGUUUAAGACAAUUGUACAUGUUGGACACUUGUGCUUUUGGACUUUCUAAUGCUACCAAAAACCUUUUUCUUUAGGUCAUCCAAUGAUCCAUUGAGAUGAGGGAGCGAUUUCAAUAUCAGCCUUGUCCCUUAAUGAAGCAUAUGUUUGCUACUUAAAAUGGUUUAUGAUCUUAGCUUUGAUUUUCACCCACAAACAUUAGUCAAAGUGUUACAGCUUUUUGCAUAAUUAUUAGGUGCAUUUGCAUUCUUUAACUUACCAAGCCAUAGUAUAAGUCAUUUUUUUAACCUAAAUAGUCUUCCUUUUCUAGGGAACAUGUCAGAUUCUCCAGCUUUGUUUAAAUUAUAAGAUGCAAUUAUCUGCCUUUACAUGUUUAAUUUCUUGUAAGGUUGUUGAAGUUGAACUGGCAGAGCAGUCAGAUCUGGUUAGCAAUCAAGGAAACACCAUAAGAUCUUCGUUUGAAUGAAAACACAUGCUAUCUGCAGAUCUAGACAUUCUCUUUGUCCAUCUUUAUGGUUCUUGGGUUUAUUAACUUCCUGACUGAUAGAUGGUCAUUUCAAGUAAACGCCCAUCAUAGAACUCUGUUGUGUUUAACCCAGUAGUUGGAGAGAUUUACUAGAAUUGGUUAAAAUUUUACAUCUGUCACAUAUAGAAUAUUAAUGUCAUGUGAUCUCAUAAUAGUGAAAUGCAUGUAUAUUGAUAAUAAAACCCUGGAUUUUUUUUUAAUUUACCUCCUUCCAUUCAAGUAUUAUAAAACAUGCAUAUUAAAUGCUUAUGGUAGACUUAGACUAUUCACUUCAUGAUGACUUGACCACUGGAAUGUCUCCUUAGAGACCAAAGACAGUAUUAGGUAGCUUUAUGCAGUCAUGGGCUUUUAUUGGUGAUCCAUUAGUUAUACUAUCAUUUAUCAUCCUCUUCAAGAUCAAAUUCCGUUUAUUAGUUCAAAGUUGCUUUGUUUGCUUACUAGGUCACUCUUCCUUUCCUCCAUUGUAUGCUUUGUUUUUGUUACUGCACUUCUGAUGCAUCCUAACCUGGUUUGGUCGUGUAACAAUUACUGUAGUAUUUAGACAAACAAUGUGCUCUCCAGUGAUAAAUAUGCACAUGAUGCAAAUGUUAUGUAUAAACAACAGGCUAACAUAUAGACCACUUAUUAUGUUGUUCAGUUGGUAUCAAGGUUUUUAAUUUCAAAUAAUACCGCCCGGUAUGGGCGGUACGUACUGGUCCGCCAGCAAACCGGUACGCAGACCGCCCACUACCAGGCGGAACACUGGAUAUCGCCCCGUAUCGGAUGAUAUGGGGCUAUAUUAGGCGGUAACGGUCAAAAUUUCGAUCAUUACUGCUUGGCACAGAUCGGUAACGAUUGAUUUCGACCGUUACCGCCCGGCACAAGUCGGUAACGGUCGAAAUCAAUCGUUACCGACCUAUAACAGUGUUCCAACAGUCAAAUUGACAAGGUACUAGUCAAGUUUAUGCACGGAAGGGGAAUGUAGUGGAUGAAUUUGAGCAGAUGCAAUAGAGCCUACAUGAUGUAGACAUAGAAUAAAGCUCAUCGUAUUCACAAUCGUCGUAUUAUGGAGAAUCAUACAACCAACGAUAAUAUGGUGAUAGUUGGUCAUACUUCUAUGAGCAACAGUAUAAUAUGGAGCAACAUAUCAGUAGUGAAAAUGGAAUCUUUGACAUUCACUAAUACAUGCCUCAGGAGCCGUUUCGGACAAAUGUGAUUCAUGAUGAUCAACCUAUGAUCAUCACUACAUUGAUACACCAAUGACAUACGGUGUAUCAAUACACUAUGUCGUGGGAUCAAUUUUAGGAUUGGGUCCAACAAACAUAUCAUAUUAAUAUGCAGAUGCUUAGGAUCGAGGACCUUGAUCCACCACCCGUGGAGGCCCGUCAUUCGUUUUGGUGGUAGAAUCAACAAUCAGGUAUAUUUACAUAUGUGAUUAUUUAAUUUAUUUGAAUUUUAAAGUUUAUAUUGUAACAACAUAAUCUAACAAUUCAAAUGAUUUUUCUGUGGAUAUUUUAAUAUUUACAGAAGGAUAAUUCGUAACGGACCGAAAUACGAACAUCGUACAAGGUUAUUCCUUAAAGCCCGAAAAAGAUAUGUGAUACUAUUCUUACCUAAUUUACAUUGAUUUUGCUAAAAUUAUACUAUUACUAUAUUUAUUUCUAACUUAAAAAUUUUAUUCAAAUUUUUUUUUCAGGUAUUUUCGGAGGAUUUUACGCCUAAAUUAGAUAUACCACUCGGUACACUGUAUCGUACCAUACCGAGCAUAGCUCAAAACUCUGAUACGAGACAAAAUUUCAAUCCUUGGUUGGUACUAUUUUGAAGUUCACAGUUUUUGCCUUUCUUCUAUAAAUUCUCCCUAGCUAGUUCAUAACAUAAGGUUUAAUAGUCUAAGUGUUUCUCUACUGCCUGCCACCUGUAAUCUUUCUGAAGAAUAUCCUGAAUGUUUUGAUUGAUGCUCCUUGAUACAGCAAUGAGACAUUAAACUUGUUGCAUAGCAUGUCUAUGCUAACUGUGCUGACUGAAUAAUUUGUAUUAAUGGGACAAGGAUGCUUACCUCUCCACCAUAACUAAUGUUCUGUAUCAAGUACCAAAUUCUCAUGAAUAUAUAGUCAUAAUGGAGACACCACAUUGCAUUUUAUUCUUUGGUUCCGAAACUAUAGCCAAAAGUUAUUUAUUUUCAUCAAGGUUUUAAGUGCCAAUUCAGAUUAAUACGUAUGAGCAUUGAAACAUAUAUCAUAAUAGAUGUAUACAUACAAUUUAUUCUCUGUUUCUUUUAUUCAAUAAUAUUAGGCAAUAUGAGUUGGUAUAUUGGUACACUGGUCCAAUAGGUUAUGAAACCAGCAUCAACAUAAAACCUCUCAAUAGGGAACAAAAAACUAUUCUAUCGGAUUUUUUUCCUUCAAUUGUUUCUACUUAUAUAGCAUUGAAAGGCAUAGUAUUUUACUUGAAAAAGAAGAAACUCAUACCGGGUAGGUUUCCAGAAUUACUGUCUAUUCAAUAUACCUAGCUUUAGUUGAAUAUAACAUAAUACUUGCAGUAUUUGUUUGUUGUGGAAAUAGUUGCAUGUCCACUACAAUUUAGAUGAAGCACUUUUAGCUUCCUUAUAUUUUCUCUCCAAUAUGUAAUUGUUCUAGUAUAUAAAAAAUGGUUUGACACUGUGUGAUAGUUUAUAUAUUUUAUUCUGUAUAAGGCUUCUAUUAUGAUGGGUAUUUUAUACCCAAACAUUAGACUUGGAAGUUCAGAAUUUGUGAUCACUGUCAUGAAGUAGCUGAAGAUAUAUUUAACAGGGAAUGGGGAUGAAAUGAAUAGGUGUACUGUAUCUUAGUGGUCAGUUUCAAAUGAAGAGGUAGAUUAAUUCAUUUUUCCAUGAUAAUAAAUGCUAAACACCAGCAUGAUAUGUGAAAAAUCUACUCAAUAUCCAGGAUGUGAUUAAUUAGUUUUUUUAGUGCAGUACUACUUUUGAGUAUUUUGACUAUUGGUCAAGUCUCAUAGACAUUUUGGCUUCAACUGACUUGUCAUUACCUAGGACAUGAUUCAUGCAAAACACUGUACAUUAUCCAGGGUGGAAUGUGAAAAGUAUUACUCAUAAUACAAGACAUGACACCAAGAGAAUUUGUAGCAUUAACAUAGCCAUGGGUUGAAUUUUCAUGCAUGACUUUGUGUUAUCUGAUGGCUUGCAUGGUACAUGCCACAUGCAAAACAUGGUGAAUGGCUGUGUGUUGACAUAAAUAUUAAAAGAAAAUAAAAAGAAAGUGUAGGGACCAAAAAAUCAUCAAAGAAAAAAAUUUUAAAGAAACCAAAAAGAGAAAAAAAGCUGAUUUUCUCAAUAUAAAAACAUAAGAUGAUUUAAAAUCAGAAAAAAAAUUGUCUCCAAGUUUUGGAUGGAUAACAAGGUUCUUGAUGGAAUUUAUUCCUUAGUGAUCAUUCAAUUACAUAGGAUUCAUUACUACAGCUCCUUAUCGACAGCAAAAAAGAUUGAGAGGGAAGUAGAUGAAGAAAGAAAUGACUAAGGAAUCAAUUAAGCAAAUAUGAAAUUUAUACAACUACACCUUUUCUAAAGAAAUGUGUGUUUUUUUAAUACAGAGGAGUGUUUUUUAUUAAAUGUAAAAUCCCUACUUUUAUUUCCAUUCUUUCUGCCUGAAAUCAUGCUUUUCAGCCAAAACACUGUUAAAAACCUGAUACUGUCCUUCUCCUGUUAUAAUCCUGAGAUCUUCUAUUGUCAUUUUUGGGUGUGAUCAUAACAUUAUUUUGUCUAUUUUCUCUUUAUACUACAAUAUCAGUAUAAGGAUUCCUUGUCAAGAAACAUUCUUUUGUCAACAAACAACAUUAUUCAGUGAAUCCUUCUAUUGUCAUUUCUGUUAUUCUGUUUCUUGUGGACUCCUUGAUGCAUGAGAUUUGUUGCCAAGUAACCCUUGUUUAUUGGUUGAACUGUGAAACAGCUUUCUCCUGCUGAUUCUGAUGUAUGUUUGAGGAGAUGUAGCUUUAGAACCUAAUGUUUAGAUUAGCGUAUGUGAUGCAUGUGUCUGUUAUUUUUAUUGGAUUUGUCUACUUCUCUACCUUGAGGCUGGUUGGCUGAACUCACCUUCUUAUCUUCUUUUCUAAAUGAAAUUACUUUGCAUUUGUGUAUACAUAAUCUCAUUCAAUGUGCUGUGAUCAAAUUGUGUUGAUAAACAUGAUUUUCUUCUAUUCAAGUAUUGUAACUAAUCUGAGUAUUGUUCCACAACCUUCAUCUUGGGUGGGGAUAAUUUAAGAGUGAUGUAGAUUCUGUCUGAAUGUAUGUACUGUCAGAAGAAAUUUUUUUUAUAGUAAAUAAAUUGUACUUGAUUGUUCAAAAGCUAAAGGGUCGUUACUGAGAAUUGUAAAACUGAGGAAAUUAUAAACAUGCUCAUUUGGUUCUAGUCGUAUGCCAUGUUUUUGUAAUAAUUUCUCCUUAGAUUUAAUUUACUUGGUAGUGAUUAUUUUCUAAUGCAUUAAGCUACUUACAUGUGGUUCACAAAUGGUCUGUCCUUUCUCUUUAAACAUUUUGAACCUAUAGUUGGGAACACCCACAUUCAGUUGAGUACAUCAUCAGAGUUUUUGUGCUCAAUGUUUUCUUUGUAGCAGAAUUUACAUCAUAACAUCAACCCUGAAUGUGCCUAUCUAGAGCACAAAAGUAUUUUGAAGUUGCAAAAUUAUAUUAGGCAAACUACAUAUACACCAACUUGAUCAAUUUACCUUUGAUGAUUUAGCAGGGAGAACUAUUUGUGUUAGACCUGAAUACUUUGUGAGGGUAAACGAGAGAUUAAAAUUGAUUUGUUUAUAAUUAAUUAUCAUGAUUUGUACUUGGUUACCAAAUUGGUUUACUGUAAAUAAAGUAAGAAUCCAGGUUAAAAAUGGAAUGUGAUUCUUAAUUAAUUUGACUUGGAGGAGUUUGGAAUUUUUACAUUUUUGGACAGGUAGGGUUAUCUAACUUAUAAAAUCGCUCUUGAAUCUCCUCUCAAGUCACCAGGGAGCGAGACUGACAACAGGGAAGAGGGAGUUGUCAGCAACAGCAAGGAGAGGAUGGUGUGGGAUCUUCAUUAGGGAGAAGAACUGUGAAUUUCAGGACCUAUAUUCAGGGAAGACAUUGGCAUUGCUAAAGAGAGUGAAGGACUUUAUUAUCUUGAAGAGGAUGCUACUUGAAAUGGACAAGUUCAAUUGACAAUAAAUAACACUCCUAGUACUAGUAGUGAAAUAAUAUUGUGGCACUAUAAACUAGGCUACCCAAGCUUUCCUUAUUUGCAAAAGUUCUUACCUUCCUUGUUUAGGAACCAUGAUAGAUCUCUAUUUCAAUGUGAAAUUUGUCAAUUUGCUAAACAUCAUCAUACUGUUUUUUCUUCUUGGCCUUACAAAUAAUCCAAACCAUUUAGUCUUAUACAUAGUGACAUUUGGGGUCCUUCUAAAGUAACAAAUCUGUCUGGAAUCAAGUGGUUUAUAAUAUUCAUUGAUGACUAUACAAGUGUAUGUUGGGUUUACUUCUAAAAAGAAAAAUCUGAUGUUGAAAAAACUUUCAAGAACUUUCAUAACAUGAUCCAAAAUUAAUUCCAAGUAAAAAUCUACGUUUUGAGAACUGACAAUGGUAUAGAAUACUUUUCUCGGUUCCUACAUGUUAAAGCAUAGAAUAAUCCACCAGUCUUCAUGUGUUAAUAGCCACAAUAAAAUGGUACUGCAGAACGAAAAAAUAAACACCUACUAGAAGUAGCACACUCUCGUUUAUUUACCACUUAUGUUCCUAAAUAUCUUUGGGGAGAUGUGAUUCUUACUACUUCAUUAAUCGAAUGCCUACCAAAAUAUUUAAUUUUUAAACACCUCUUGAUCGCUUAUCCUCUAUUUAUCCACAUGUGAAACUGAUUAACUCUCUUCCACCAAAGGUAUUACGAUGCAUUGUUUUUGUCCAUAUUCAUAACCAUGAUCAAAGUAAACUUGAACCUCAUGCAUUAAAGUGUGUUCAUUGGCUACUCCUCGACUUAAAAGGGUUACAAAUGUUAUGAUCCUAUAUCGAAAAAAAUAUUUGUCACCAUGGAUGUCACAUUCUUUGAAAUCCAAACAUCUAAAAAAUUCAUCUUCAUAGAGAGAAUUCUACCUAAGAAGAUUGUUUUUGGGAAUUGUUUCUACCAAUCACUAUUUCUUUGUUAGAUUCAUCUCCUUUUACUCUACCAAAUGUACAUAGCCAACAACUAACUAGUCCUAUUGAUACUCCUAAAUCCAAAUCUCCAACACCACGACCCCAAUCUUCAACUCUACAACAUGCUAUUGUACAGCCUAAUUUAGGGAGAGAUAUCACUAUGUAUCACUAUGAUUGCACCUGAGCUUUGUGUGUAUUUAAGAUAGUGAAAUCUAGAAAAGGUCGAUGUUCACCCUCCUAAAUACUACCAAGAGUAUGAAUUGAUAGCAGAUUCAGAUGUAGACACAGGUAACUCUAUUCUUUCGUCAGAUCUUGAUGUUUCCAUUGCCAUUAGGAAAGGAAUUAGAUCUUAUCCGAUGCAUCUUAUAUUUAAAUAUGUCUUAUCAUAGAUUGUCUCUAGUCUUUAAAGCUUUUGGAACUCACUUGUCUAGUUUAGAAAUUCUAAAAAAUAUACAUGAUGCUUUAUUAAUUCCAGAAUGUAGAGAUGCAAUUAUGGAGGAGAUGAGAGCUCUUCAAAAGAAUGAUACUUGGAGUGUGGUGCAUCUGCCAAAAGGGAAGAAUCUAGUGAGAUGCAAAUGGGUGUUUACUGUUAAAUAUAAGGCAGAUGGUUCUAUUGAAAGAUACAAAACCAGAUUGGUUGCAAAAGGAUUUACUCAAAUAUAUGAUAUUGACUACCAAGAAACAUUUGCUCCGGUUGCAAAACUAAAUACUAUUCAAGUAUUGUUAUCUCUUGCAGCUAAUUUUGAAUGGCCUUUACAUCAAUUAAAUGUGAAAAAUAUCUUUCUUAAUAGAGAAUUGGGGGAAGAAGUAUACAUGGAUCUAUCACUCGGCUUUGAGAAUUUGUAUGGUUUGAAUAACAUGUGCAAGCUGUGAAGAUCUUUUUAUGGUCUUGAGCAAUCACCACGUGCAUGGUUUGAGAAGUUAAUAAAGUAGGCCAUGGUUACACUCAAAGUCACUUCAACCAUCUAAUGUUUUAUAAACACUCAUAUAAGGGAGAUAUUGCUAUUAUUUUAGUUUAUGGGAAUGAGAUCAUCCUAAUAGGCAAUGAUGUCUUAGAAUUGGAGAAUUGAAGCAUAUCUUAGCUAAAGAGUUUGAAAUUAAAGAUCUUGGCCAACUAAGAUAUUUCUUGGGCAUGGAAAUAACGAGAUUAAAGAAUGAGAUUUUUGUUUCAUAAAGGAAAUACACUUUAGACCUUCUAAAAGAAACAAGGAUACUUGAUUGUAAACUUGUGGACACUUCAAUAGAUCUCAAUCAUAAAUUGGGAUGUCCUUCUCAAAGUGUCAUGGUAGAUGCAAUCAAAUAACAACGAUUAUAUCUCAUACUGGUCUAGACUUGGCAUUUGCAAUAAGUGUAGUGAGUCAAUUUAUGCAUUCACUAUAUGAAGUAUAUUUAGAGGCAAUAUAUAGGAUUUUUAGAUAUCUGAAAAGGACUCCAGGCAAGGGAUUAUUAUUCAAAAAGGACAAUCAUAUGAGAAUUGAGGCCUUCACUAAUGCUGAUUGGGUAGGAGGAUUAGUAAGUGAAAGGAGAUCAACUUUAGGAUAUUAUAUAUCACGACUUGGGCUUGAUGGGCUAAUUGGCCUAUCAACUUCUUUUGGCCCAAACCACUGGCCAAAAUGUUUAAGCUAAAAUUGAUAAUAAUAUACUCAUCAGAUCCUUAUAAAUCGAUCUUAAUCUUGUCCAUUUCCGAUGUGGGACUAAUCGGGAUAUUAUAUUGUACAUUUGUUAGAGGGAAUUUGGUGACUUGGAGGAAUAAGAAGCAAGCAGUUGUUGCUAGAAGCAAUGCUAAAGUAGAAUUUAGAGCAGGAGUAGAAGGUAUUUGUGAACUCUUAUGGCUAAAAAUGCUUAUAUAAGAAUUACAAAUAUCCACUGAAACUCCUAUGAGAUAUACUGUGACAAUAAGGUUGCUAUCAACAUUGCUCAUAAUCUAGUGCACCAUGAUAGAACAGAGCAUGUUGAAGUAGAUCGACAUUUCAUAAAGGAGAAAAUUGAAGAAGGAAUUGUUUGCAUGCCUUAUAUUCUUACAGAGAAGCAAUUAGCAUAUAUUCUUACCAAAGGGCUUUAAAGAUCUUUUUAUGAGGAUCUAUCUAGCAAGCUGGGAAUAAGUAACAUCUUCAAGUCAACUUGAGAGGGAGUGUUGAAAAUCCUAUGAUUAAGGGAUUCUGAAUCCCAUAAUUAAGAGAUUUUAUAAUCCCAUAACUAAGGAAAUCUAUCCCUAAUUUUGGGCCUCAGUAUCAAAUCAGCCUAUAUUAUAAGAGAUGAAUUAGAAUGAAAUAUUGUACAGAAUCAAUUUUAUUAGUUGUACAGGUUGUAAUUAGCCUAUAUAUGUCUUCUUUUGUAUAUAGAAAAGAUUAAUGAAUGAAAGAAAUUAUAUUCUUUUGUGUUCAAUAGACAUCUUUAAUCGAACAUUGAUCAAACCAUGUCAAAUUGGUCAAGCUUUCAAUCCUUGCUUAUAAUUAUCAUAAAUUGUCACAUGACAACAUCUUCAAUAUUUCUAGUUAAGUUUCAUAAAUUCUUGAGAGACAAGAAAAAGGAAAUAAGUAUGAAAAAAGGAAGAAAUUAAAUUUUGAUUCUAAUUGAAGAUUGCAAAUCUUGAUCGAAGAUUUUAUCUCUAGAAAGAUUUAUCUUUACUAAUAUUUAUCAGUUAAUAACAUCAUAAAAACAAAAGAUCAUUCUCCAAAUCGGAUAUGGAAAUUAAUAUUCUUUGAAGAAGAAAAGAGUAUAUGAUUUAUUUGAUUUAAUGAAGUAUAAUCUUUCCAUGUAAUGUAUUUUCCUUUUUGUCUUGUAUUUGAUACCUAUAAUAAGGAGCAAAGAGAUUGCAAUAAGAUUAGAGAAUAGAUCAAUAGUCUGAAGUUUGCUUGCCACAUUAUAUGUUAGUGGUGUGAGACCACACAUUUUCUUCCAAUGUUAUGAUUUUAUCAUUCACAUGUAAGAUGCAUGGAGGCACGACACUGUUAUCCUGGACUUCUUUUCUUGAGCCAAAGCUAGUCCUCUGGUACCUCCAUGCAUCUCACUUGUGGAUGAAUUUAAGCGAUACUAAACUUUUGCAUCUGUAUUCUUUCGAAAAAGUGUAUGAAAACUGUUAGGGAAUAUCUUAUGGCUGCUACCGCAUAGAAUUGUAGUCCCAUGAUCAGCUUUAGACCCACAGCGGAUGGUCACAUUGCAUAUGAUAAUUCUGUAUUUUUCAAAUCAUUAUUUCAAAGCUAUGACUACAAGGUAUAUAACCAUCUACAGUUUCUUAUUUAUUUAUGUCUGUCAUUUUUUUAUUGUUUUUUGUUGAUACUAGAGACAUGAGUAAUUAGCGAGUGAAUCAACCACCACUGCUGGUCAUAUUUUCUGACCACCAGAACUACUUGACUAGAUCUCUUAUUUUUGUUGUUGUCACCAUCAAAUUUGCACACAAGCAUGUGCAGCUCUCAUGCUAUAAAUUCAUUCCAGGUCUUUUUUAUGAUAAGAUAGUUCUAAUUUUCUAUGCUGCACUAAUUUUUUUGAGUUGCUCUGCUUUGAAGUUUUAUAUGUGGUGUGAUAUAGCCUGAGACUGGAAACACACCUAUGCUGUAAUUGGUGAACAGGUUUAAUGUUUUUCCAUUCGGCUUAUCUGUGCCAUGUGCCAAUUCAUAUCUGAUGUAAUAGAUACUUUUGAUACUCAUUGCAAUUUAAAUGUUUUUCUUCAAACCAAUGCUAAUCUGAAUGUUUUUUUUAUCAUUUUGGCAGGAAACAAGUUAGCUCAUUAAAAUUAUUAUUGUUUCUUUAAUUACAUUGCCAAAUAAUUUAGUCAAAUAUAACAUUUUGUGGUUGUCUGUAGGCUUGCUUUAUUGACUUGGAUUUGGAGUCUCUUGAGAAGAUGGUUUAUUGCCAUGAAUUAGAUCAGAAGGGAGUGAAUUUCUAUAAAAUGAUGAGGAGAUUUAAGGAAAGUGUUACAUUCCUGGAGUGGAGGUCCAAUUGCAGAAGUAUUCAAUAUUAGUAUUAAAUUUUUCUCACAACUUGCAUCAUGUAUGUAAGAAGACAAGCUGCAAGUAUCCCUCCUAAAGAGAUUUGACAAAUUCUAGUUACCAUAUUUUAGGUUUUAGUAUUUCCUGCUUGUCAACUUUUGUGUAAUUCUGUGGGAAACUGACCCAACAUGAUGUGUUUUCCUAAGGGAUCUGACCAGCUCUAAUUUUACAAUGCUUAAAUCAUAUAAUAAAUGGUAAAUUGACUUCA